UACGAAGGGGGCUAGCGUUGUCCGGAAUUAUUGGGCGUAAAGGGCUCGUAGGCGGUUUGUCGCGUCGGGAGUGAAAACUCAGGGCUUAACCCUGAGCCUGCUUCCGAUACGGGCAGACUAGAGGUAUGCAGGGGAGAAUGGAAUUCCUGGUGUAGCGGUGAAAUGCGCAGAUAUCAGGAGGAACACCGGUGGCGAAGGCGGUUCUCUGGGCAUUACCUGACGCUGAGGAGCGAAAGUGUGGGGAGCGAACAGG
rnacentral:rRNA from 1 species